rnacentral:rRNA from 1 species
GAGUUUGAUCUUGGCUCAGGAUGAACGCUGGCGGCGUGCCUAACACAUGCAAGUUGAGCGAUUUACUUCGGUAAAGAGCGGCGGACGGGUGAGUAACGCGUGGGUAACCUACCCUGUACACACGGAUAACAUACCGAAAGGUAUGCUAAUACGGGAUAACAUAUUUGAGAGGCAUCUCUUGAAUAUCAAAGGUGAGCCAGUACAGGAUGGACCCGCGUCUGAUUAGCUAGUUGGUAAGGUAACGGCUUACCAAGGCGACGAUCAGUAGCCGACCUGAGAGGGUGAUCGGCCACAUUGGAACUGAGACACGGUCCAAACUCCUACGGGAGGCAGCAGUGGGGAAUAUUGCACAAUGGGCGAAAGCCUGAUGCAGCAACGCCGCGUGAGUGAUGAAGGCCUU